rnacentral:tRNA from 1 species
AAAAAGAUAAGCUAAUUAAACUAUUGGGCUCAUAACCCAAGAAUAAAGGUCACAAAUCCUUUUCUUUUUA